AGGCAGCUAUUAUUAUUUAUUCUUUUUUUUUUUUUUUUUGAGACGGAGUUUCGCUCUUGUUGCCUAGGCUGGAGUGCAAUGGCACGAUCUCAGCUCACUGCAACCUCCUCUUCCCGGGUUCAAGUGAUUCUCCUGCCUCAGCCUCCCGAGUAGCUGGGAUUACAGGCAUGCGCCACCACACCCGGCUAAUUUUGUAUUUUUAGUAGAGACAGGGUUUCUCCAUGUUGGCCAGGCUGAUCUUGAACUCCUGACCUCAGGUGAUCUGCCCGCCUCGGCCUCCCAAAGUGCUGGGAUUACAGGCAUCUUAAACCCAGGGAAAAACAAGAGCCCUGUCCGCCCGGAUCUACUGUGGAUCCCAGUUUCUGACUGUGCAAAGAGGCCCUGGGAAGGAACGAGGCAGGGAAGGAUGCUGAGGAAGAACCACAGGCAUUGGUCCUCAAGGCCACUAGGAGGUCCUCACUCUCCUUCCCCCCUGCCUCAUUCCCUCCUGCCUCAGUCAGACUUCCCGGCUGGGAACCUCACCACACAGCCUCCAGCAGGGAAGGCCAGGGAAGC
rnacentral:lncRNA from 10 species